AUGAACUACGAUGCCCAGACUCUAGCGGACGUGUUGCAUGGCUUCGGUGGCGCGGUCGCCAGCUUCCCCACCUCUUACCUGGGGCUGCCAAUCUCCCAAACAAGACUACAGAUCGUGCAUUUCCAAUUCCUCAUCGACCGGAUCAAAUCACGCCUUGCUGGAUGGAAGGGAAAGUUGAUGACCCUGGCCGGCCGGCGCGUCCUGGUGCGUGCAGUCCUCUCCGCCCUGCCCACCUAUGCGCUCUCUGUGCUCAAGGCGCCGAAGAAACUUUUGAAGGAGAUAGACAAAGCGAGGCGACGUUUCUUGUGGGCUCAAGAUGAAGCGCUGACAGGCAACAAGUGCAAAGUGGCGUGG
rnacentral:rRNA from 1 species